rnacentral:rRNA from 1 species
CCCCCCUCCAAUCAGUGAAACUGAUCUCUCCGUGAAGAAGCGGGGAUAUUUACAUAAGACGAGAAGACCCCAUGGAGCUUUAAACCCGAUGUCACCCAUUUUCCUCUACACCCUAAUAUUCAAUUUGGCCCUGCCCUGUCGGUUUUAGGUUGGGGUGACCACGGAGUAUAAUAUACCCUCCAUGAAAAAGGGAGUAAUAAUCCUUAUUAGAGAACAACACUUCUAAAAAUUAAAACAUUAAUUUAUAAUGAUCCGAUAUUCGAUCAACGAACCAAGUUACCCUGGGGAUAACAGCGCAAUCUGCCUCAAGAGCCCCUAUCGACAGGCGGGUUUACGACCUCGAUGUUGGAUCAGGGCAUCCCAGUGGUGCAGCAGCUACUAAAGGUUCGUUUGUUCAACGAUUAAAACCCU